CGCAAAUUUGACGUCAGGAGAUUGGAAUAAAAACAGAUUGGAAUAGUUUUACGUUAUAGGGCCCCUGGAUUCUGCUGCGGCUGACAACGGCAAUAACGACAUGCAGUAAUGAGGACGGCACCAGUAUAAAGCAACAUAUUUCAUACACUAAACAGAAGCUGCUGCCUACUACAACAAGGUCAUUGUGUGGACUUUGGCUGCUACUACAAGAGUCUAUGCCAAGCACAUCUUGGUCAUCACAGGAGCUCCCAUCUACACCAACAGCAAGGGGCUGGAGCCGAAUUUGCAAGGCUAUUACACCACGAACAAAUAAGCGCAUGCAGAAGAAUUUGGAUGAGAUAUCAAGUCUGCAGAGGACUGUGUCAUGACUGAAAAGAGCUUCGGCCACCAUUCCACCACCACGGACAUUUGGCCGAGUCAUCCAGCUAACUCAAAAAGGACUUUCUAGAAAUUCAUGUUCAGGUGCACCUGCAACUUCCGACCAAGAAGCACGGACGACGCUGGCCAAAAGAGUUCUGUCAGUUUGCCCUUAAUGAGCUUCCUGGUCAUGUCAAUUCCAUUUGUGCCAAGUGUAAUUUUUUUUUCUAUAAAUGCAAGCUUUUUCAUUGUCCAUUCUCGUUAGAGAUCAUUCAUCCUCAUCCAAACAUAAAGGUCAACCAAUUCUUUGCUGAUACUUAAUACCAGUCAAUGUUUAGUAGCAUAACAUAUCUGUAGCAGUAUCUUCUAGUGUAUGUUGUCAUGCGCAAUUCCUCUCUGAAAUAGCUGAUGCAGCAUCGGCAUGUGUCUUGCAUUAGCCUACGCACCAUGUGCUAU